rnacentral:rRNA from 1 species
UACGAAGGGGGCUAGCGUUGCUCGGAAUUACUGGGCGUAAAGGGCGCGUAGGCGGCACUGUUAGUCAGGCGUGAAAUUCCUGGGCUCAACCUGGGGACUGCGCUUGAUACGGCAGAGCUAGAGGAUGGAAGAGGCUCGCGGAAUUCCCAGUGUAGAGGUGAAAUUCGUAGAUAUUGGGAAGAACACCGGUGGCGAAGGCGGCGAGCUGGUCCAUUACUGACGCUGAGG